UACGAAGGUGCCAAGCGUUGUUCGGAAUCACUGGGCGUAAAGGGAGCGUAGGCGGCGCGGUAACUCAGAUGUGAAAUCCCGGGGCUCAACCCCGGAACUGCAUCCGAUACUGCCGUGCUUGAGGGUUGGAGAGGUAGCUGGAAUUAUCGGUGUAGCAGUGAAAUGCGUGGAUAUCGAUAGGAACACUCGUGGCGAAGGCGAGCUACUGGACAACAUCUGACGCUGAGGCUCGAAGGCCAGGGGAGCAAAAGGG
rnacentral:rRNA from 1 species